ACCUUGAAAGACUUAUAUCUAAUUAAUACGAGCUUUCACUAUGAAUAAAUGCUGUAACAACCUGUGGAAAUGUUUACCCAGAACUCUAUCUGAAUCAGAAACCAGCUAUAAAGAACUUGUAAAUUGCCUGCAAUCCAGGUAACAAGCUGUAGAGUGCACUGCAAACCUCAGCUGUCUUCUUAGAUAAUAUUGCUUGAAUGUUCAUGCUGUUUUGAUGUAUUGUGCAUUAUCGCUGUCUUCUUUCUCACGUAAUUAAAUGUCUUAUAGAAAAGUGGACAAGCAUGUGCAAAAGCUAAAAAAAAAAAAGCAACCCACGCAUUAACAGAUAUUGAAAACUGUUGGCAUCGCAUAGGGGAAUCUCACUACUGAGGAAAACUCAUUCAGCUAAAUGUUCAUUUUGAGGGAGCCGUGAAUGUGCUAUAUAAGCAGUUCUCAGACUUUUCGGUCUCAGCACUCCCUUAGUAUUUGAGGACUCCAAAGAGCUUUUGUUUUUGUGGGUUAUAUAUAUUGGGAUAUAUAUAGAGAGAGAGAGAGAUAUUGUGAGUCGGAAUUGACUUGACGGCACCGGUGUACUGGGUAUAGGUAUUAACAAAAAAUUACUGUUUUUUUAAACAUAAGAAUAUACAAGCAUACACUCCAGUAGUCAGCAGGGUGAUGAGUGUCCUUACACGUCUUGUAGCCUCUGGUUAAACUCUGAUGUACGUUCAUGGAAUGAGAGUGAAAAUGACAAAUAAUGUCUUAGUAUUAUUAUGAAAGGGGGCAGUGGUGGUUCAGUGGUAGAUUCUCACCUUCCAUGCAGGAGACCCGGGUUCAGUUCCCAGCCAGUUUGCACCUCAAGUGCAGCCACCACCCAUCUGUCAGUGGAGGCUUGCUAUGAUGCUGAACAGAUUUCAGCAGAGCUUCUAGACCAAAACAGACAAGAAAGUCCUGGCAGUCUACUUCCCUAAGUCAGCCAGUGAAAACCUGUAGAUCCCAACGGUCUGACCCACAACGCCUUUCUCCCAGGCAGCCUUUCAUUCCUUUGUGCAUAGAGUUGCCAUGAAUCAAGGACUGACGCAACAGUAGCUAACAACAUUAUUAUGAAAAUAGUUUUGAGCUCACUAACCCCCUAAAAGGAUCUCAGGGUCCUCCACAGAGCCUCCUGACCAUACUUUGAGAACAACUACCCACCAUCCACUGCCGUUGAGUGGAUUCCGACUCAUAGCGACCCUAUAGGACAGAGUAGAACUGCCCCAUAGAGUUUCCAAGGAGCACCUGGCGGAUUUGAACUGUUGACCUCUUGGUUAGCAGCCGUAGCACUUAAACAACUACUCUAUGCAAAUCUUUCAAAGAAAUUUUAGACAAAAAAGACAGGUAAUUGCUGUUAUAAGUGAUUGUGAGCAGAAGCAUCACCUUGAAAAUGGGAUAAUAACACUCUUGUAUUUCCACAAGCUAUUUUUUUUAUAUAAUCGCAGGCAAGGGGAGCACACACAGAAGUCCAUUUUGUGUUGCUUUCGUCCCAUUGCUUUGCAUAUGGCUUCAGAUGAUGGUUCACACCAACUCCUAAACAGGGGCUAAGAAGAAAAGACCUCACCAGUUCCUUGGAUUUGAACAUGGACAAACCACAGGCAAUUUCUGUGUCACCCACCCCCUUGGCCAGUUUACCCUUGCUCACCUUCCCCCACCUGUGACCAGCAGCACGUUACAGCCUCCAUUGCCCUUCUCUCUCCACCAGAACUAAGGUAUAUGAGCUCCUUGAGAGCAGAAGCUGUUAUUUCUGUGUUCUGAUUAUUCAGAACAGAGAUAACUAAGGCACAGUUCCUGGCUUUGAUUUGCUUACAGUCAAGUGGAGGAGAUGAGUCAAUGUUUGUAGUACAUCCUUUAAAUAUUCUGAGAGAGGUGAGUUACUUGGCACUUAAGUCAGCCUAGGAGAGGGAAGAAUGAGGGAGUGCUCCAAGAAGUGACUUUUGAGCUUAUAAGUAUUAGUUACGUGGACGAAGAAAAGGGAGUCCAUUCCAGGUGCCUAGGAAUCUAUAGCUGGUGUAUAAAUUGUAAAUUAUGCAAAAGACCAUAUCAGGUAGCUUACACUUUUCUUUAGAGUGCUAUCCUUACCUUUUGAUAGUGAUUCUUGUGUUUUCCUUCUCUCUCCCUGCUCCUUUCCGCCUUAAUUGGGUGGGUGUUUGGGAUGUGAAAGCAAGUGGGAGGGUUUGCAAGAGGUAACGUGUAAGCCAAACCAAACCCAUUGCCGUCAAGUCAGUUCUGACUCAUAGCAACCCUACAGGACAGAGUAGAACUGCCCCAAAGGGUUUCCAAGGAGCAGCUGGUAGAUUUGAACUGCCGACUUUUUGGUUAGCAGUUGCUUAACCACCGCAUCACCAAGGCUCUGACUUAAUGUAUAUUCCCAUAAAUUUGUCUUUAAAAAGUAUAUUUCUGCUUUGUUAAAAUGCACAACUAGGAAACCUCAAUUUUCUUGGUUAGGUGGUUUCCCAGUGAAUGGAUUAUAUUUAUUCCUAUCUCCAGUCUGGUCUGUUUGAAUGUAAGGGCAUCACCUAAACUACUUUCAAAGAAGAGACCCCAUAUUUAGGUUUAGAAAUGAAAAUGGGUGAAACGGCAAGAUUAGAACCCAAGUUCAUACUAUAAAAAUACUUUUAUUGGCUAUGUCUGAGUGGCUGCAUGUUAUUUGCAUAUCCUGCAAGCUGUGUAGUUAAUUUGCACCUAUCCAAAUAAAUGAUAGUUCUACCAGGAUUUGAGUAAGGUAAAAAUAGAGCAGAAAAAAUCUGAUUCUGUCAAAAGUCGGAGAAAAAGCAAUCAAUCAGUGAGUUGGGCUUAAUUUUUUUUCUGAGGUUGGAGGUAGCAGAAAAACAAGCGGUGAAAUAGUAGGACAUGAUGCACUCAGUAAGAGUCAGCUCUUGUUUAAAAGAAGCUCUGAAAGAAUGACUAACAUGGGGUCAGUCACUGUGCCCAGGUCAUUGUCAUGCUCUGUUCAGGAGACUUCCAGACUGACGGAAAGAUGCUGACCUGCUGUGGGCUCCUUUCCAAAGCACAGACUCAUCCCUUGCUUUAGAUUCAUUAGCCAUUGGUUGCAGUAUAGCUUGAAGUUAUAAAAGUAGAGUGAAACCCAUGAGAGCUGGAACUCGAUGGGACUGCCUUGUUUUUCCAGGCCUCCCUUUGACAGGGCACAGUCUUAACCACUUUUCUAUUGGUGGUUUUAGUGGAAAAUAUUUGAGUUUUCUUUCUCUGACAGGUUUGCACCUUACACAGGUUCUAGCUUUCACAGGUUUUACUGUAAUAGAAUUAAUGGAAUUAUCAUUCUUUAAAUAUCUCGGCAUGCUAAAGGGCAGUGUUUUAAAGGCUAGACUUGGUCAUGUUUUUCUGGAGACUAAGAAAAUAGAGUCCUUGACAUCAAGGUGACUCUGCUUUUAGCCUCCUAGAUGAAAAGGUAGACAGAACAGGUCUUGUUUGCAAAAUAAAUUCAAGACCUACUUAUCUACCAACAGUAAUUAGACAGUUUGCAGCAUUUUACUCUAGAAACUAGGAAUAGUAAGUUUAUAGAUGAGAAAGGAUAGAGAAAGAUACAGCGAACUCAUAAGAAUCUUACCGAAGUAAUUGCCAGAAAGGUGACCAGAAAUUAGAGAAAUCAUUUUGGGAAGUGGAGGAGAGGACCUUUCCUGCUCUGGUAGCUAAGCUCCUUGGAUAGAGAAUGCCGAAUCAUUUACAGAAGGCCACAUCACGAUAACCUGUACGUGGGCAGCUUCCAGUGUGUGAAUCACGUAAGAUGACGAGUCUAACAAAAUUUGGAGAUGAGGAGUAUCAAGAAAAAGGCCCCAUUGCCCACGCAUUUGCCCUGCUUUAUACUGACAACCCGACACAUGCUUCAGAAAUGUGUUAUCGGUUGUGUGCAAGCAUUUGCUUAUCAUUGUUUGAACCAGUAGGAAGUCAAUUAUUAAACACACACUUUUAUAAUCUAAAUUUUUUUAUUAUGUUGAAAAUGUACCAAACAAAACAUACACCAUCUCAACAGUUUCUACAUUAAACAUACGCUUUUUCAAAUAAAAGACAAUUUAAUUUUACCAGAAACCAAUAUCAUUUUGUAUUCCAAGUCUCUAACCAGCUUCCCAAUUCCAUCUAAUAAGGGCCCUUAAAGAUUUUUUUAGUGAAAUUCUGAAUGUUCUGAAUUGCUAAGAUCACGUUAGUUUACACCAAGAUUUAAUUGCUUUUGCACCUUUGUCAAAAAUAAGUUGAGCAUGUUUGUGUGGGUCUGUUUCUGGAUUUCCUAUUUUAUUCUGUUGAUUUGUCUAUCCCUCCACCAAUACCAUAUUGUCUUAAUUACUGUAGCUAUAUAAAAUACCCAGAACCAAACCCGUUGCCAUCGAGUCAAUUCCAACUUGUAUCGACCUUAUAGGACAGAGUAGAACUGCCCCAUAGAGUUUCGAAGGAGCACCUGGUGGAUUCAAACUGCCUACCUUUUAGUUAGCAGCCAUAGCUCUUAACCACUAUGCCACCAGGGUUUCCGUAGCUGUAUAGUAAGUCUUAACAUCAGUUACAGAGAUUUGCUUUACCAAGUAAAUUUAAGACCUACUUAUCUACCAACAGCAAUUACACACUUUCCAUUGUCUUACUGUAGAAAAUGGAAAUAGUAAGGUUAUAGAUGAGAAAGACAUAGGGAACCCAUGAGAAUCGUACUCUCCUAAUUGACAGAAAGGUGACUAGGAAUUGUUUUAAAUAUUCUCUUUCCCCUUUGUUAACAUGGGAAGCUGAAGCUUAUGUGAAUGACUUGCUCAAGAGUUAUAAAGAGAUAAAGAUAAAGCUAAGAAAAGAACAGAUUUGAUAUCUUUUGUUUUAACUGCUCAGUAUCACGGAGUUAGAACUCUUAGUCAUAUAAAUAACAGGUUGUGGCUACCAUGGUCUUCCUUUUUUAAAAAAAUCUUUCUGUUUUGUUUUUUAACAGAUAUAUCUGUGGGUGAAUGUGGCCUCAAGGUAAAUCCUGCCCCUUGUUGAAAUUUAGUUUUGACAGAUUAUUCAUAGUAUGGAUUUGGAAUAUUUUCCAGAAAAACAAAAGUUGUGUUUGGUUCUGUUCUAGAUUUAUUUUUUCUUUUUGUAGAAGAGAAGAAAGAUGCUUAAACAGGUUCUUUGCGAUGCUUGAGAAUGGUCAUCUACCUUAUUUAAAUUCAGUGGAUUUUAAACAUCAGAGCGAAUUCUAGGCAGUUUUUUCUUGGUCAAAUAAAAUUUUAUUAAAACUUUA